AUUGAACGCUGGCGGCAUGCCUUACACAUGCAAGUCGAACGGCAGCACGGGAGCAAUCCUGGUGGCGAGUGGCGAACGGGUGAGUAAUAUAUCGGAACGUGCCCAGUCGUGGGGAUAACGUAGCGAAAGCUACGCUAAUACCGCAUACGAUCUAAGGAUGAAAGCGGGGGAUCGCAAGACCUCGCGCGAUUGGAGCGGCCGAUAUCAGAUUAGGUAGUUGGUGAGGUAAAGGCUCACCAAGCCGACGAUCUGUAGCUGGUCUGAGAGGACGACCAGCCACACUGGGACUGAGACACGGCCCAGACUCCUACGGGAGGCAGCAGUGGGGAAUUUUGGACAAUGGGCGCAAGCCUGAUCCAGCAAUGCCGCGUGCAGGAUGAAGGCCUCGGUUGUAAC
rnacentral:rRNA from 1 species